ACUUCUGAAUUUUUAGUUUUUCUUGUGUUCUAGGAAUCUCUGCUUCAUCCACAGUUGUUGCUGCCUUCGCCUGGAGUUAUAGAACCUCGAUCUCCAAUUCUCAAAAUAGAAUCGGACAAAGGGACAAACUUUUCACCUGUUCCCCCCCUUCUUGAAGUUCCUGGAACUCCUGGAACAGUUCACCUGGGUCCUGGAGUACUUCACAACAUUCCUGGAGUUGAAAUGCGCGAAAAUCUCGCAAUCUAAUUUAGUUCCUAUUUUGCCCGCUAGAGCUACAGGAGGCGCUGUAAGCUCAUCUCUACAGAAAAAUCCGUUCUUUUCUAGCCAAGAUGUUCGUCUUUCCACGGAAGUUACCGCUGCGCAAGAUGGCGAUAAUUUUUAUGUUUCUUUCGCGGGAGGAAAAGGGAAAAAGUUUCUAGAGAAAAAGAGAAAUAACAGUUAUUAGAAAUAAAUUGGGAGUAUAAGAUGUUGGGUUUGCAUAUCAAUUCGGGAUUAUCAUCUAGCUCCAGUUCUGAUCAAAAGGACUACAAUGGGAUUAUGUUAUAAGCACCUUGGAGAUCGCACAAUAUAAAUUUGUUUUAGAAAAGAUCUAAAAACUUUUUUUUCCUUUUCCCUGACACGAAAUUUAGUCUAAGAAAUGUUAUAGGGAAAUUAGUUGAAAUUUUUAACCUAAGAAAUUUUACAGGGAAUAUGAAAUUUGAAAUUCUUCAAGAGUUUGUCACUUUUGAAAAUCUCAUCUUUUUAUUGUUUUAUAUCAAGAAUUUUUUAUAAAUAGUAUUCUCUUAAAUUAAGUCAAUGAGGAAAGACCGAAUUGCCAAAUAAUUUGUGUGAUUUAUGCCAUGUAUUAAUGUGAACCCAUUUUGCCAUUUAUUAUAUUUAUUCUCUAAAAAAAUGCAUUAUAAUCUAUUUUUGACAACCUAACAGUUGAGAAACUUUUUUUUACAGUUUAUGAGUUUGUUUAUCUUAAACACAAAUACAAAUAUGUCAAAACUGUACAAUUUUUUAUAUUCUUGUUUUCGUCUAAGUUGAUUUGAUUUGAUAUAAUUAUUAAGAUCUGAAAGUUUCCAUAAUCUUAUCGCUUGUACUAUACUAAACGUAGAGGCAAAAGAACUUAUCAUUAUUAAUCUAUAUUAUUAGAUUACUUAAGAUGGAGAAUGAAAUCCUUGUAAUGUCAGAAAAACGAGCUUCCAUCACUGUUAGGCUCCAUACACAACACAUCCCAGUGCAAUAUAUUAAUUAACAAUGGAUUAAAAACCAAAUAAAGCUGUGUAUAGUGAGCGGG